UACAGAGGGGGCAAGCGUUGUUCGGAAUUACUGGGCGUAAAGGGCGCGUAGGCGGCCUGUUAAGUCGAACGUGAAAUCCCCGGGCUCAACCCGGGAACUGCGUCCGAUACUGGCAGGCUUGAAUUCGGGAGAGGGAUGCGGAAUUCCAGGUGUAGCGGUGAAAUGCGCAGAUAUCAGGAGGAACACCGGUGGCGAAGGCGGGUCUCUGGGCCGAUACUGACGCUGAGGAGCGAAAGCGUGGGGAGCGAACAGG
rnacentral:rRNA from 1 species